rnacentral:rRNA from 1 species
UACGUAGGGUGCGAGCGUUGUCCGGAAUUACUGGGCGUAAAGAGCUCGUAGGUGGUUUGUCGCGUUGUUCGUGAAAUUCCCUGGCUUAACUGGGGGCGUGCGGGCGAUACGGGCAGACUGGAGUACUGCAGGGGAGACUGGAAUUCCUGGUGUAGCGGUGGAAUGCGCAGAUAUCAGGAGGAACACCGGUGGCGAAGGCGGGUCUCUGGACAGUUCCUGACGCUGAGGCACGAAAGCCAGGGGAGCAAACGGG